AUUGCUUCUCGGCCUUUUGGCUAAGAUCAAGUGUAAUAUCUGUUCUUAUCAGAAUGGUUUUAACAUGCGUUUCUCUGAUGAUUACUUUUUUUUUUUUUGAGAGUAAAUAAUAGAUGUUUAUAAUCAUCUCACAAUUCCGAGGCCAGCAAUCUGAGAUUGAGCUGCUGGCUGGCCCAUGCCUCCUCUGUGAACAGGAAGAAAGGAUUUAUU
ensembl:snRNA U2 U2 spliceosomal RNA